rnacentral:rRNA from 1 species
AGUGAACGCUGGCGGUAGGCCUAACACAUGCAAGUCGAACGGCAGCACAGUCAGAGCUUGCUCUUACGGGUGGCGAGUGGCGGACGGGUGAGGAAUACAUCGGCAUCUACUUUUUCGUGGGGGAUAACGUAGGGAAACUUACGCUAAUACCGCAUACGACCUACGGGUGAAAGCAGGGGAUCUUCGGACCUUGCGCGAUUGAAUGAGCCGAUGUCGGAUUAGCUAGUUGGCGGGGUAAAGGCCCACCAAGGCGACGAUCCGUAGCUGGUCUGAGAGGAUGAUCAGCCACACUGGAACUGAGACACGGUCCAGACUCCUACGGGAGGCAGCAGUGGGGAAUAUUGGACAAUGGGCGCAAGCCUGAUCCAGCCAUACCGCGUGGGUGAAGAAGGCCUUCGGGUUGUAAAGCCCUUUUGUUGGGAAAGAAAAGCAGCAGGUUAAUACCCCGCUGUUCUGACGGUACCCAAAGAAUAAGCACCGGCUAACUUCGUG